rnacentral:lncRNA from 1 species
AUCACAUAUGUAAAGACAACAUGCAGACAGCCUGUUGUCUUUCCUAAUUAAACAUUAAAGGAGCUAACUCCAAAUAAUCUUGGGGGUACUACAUAUGUAAUAGCUGGAAGUCCUUUUCUUUUUUUUUUAGUUUUAAAUUUUCUCGCAUCUUAUUCUUUAUCUUCUGCUUAGGCUGCAGCUUAAAAAUUUGUAAUAUGACGAGGUUUAAAAUUAGAUAUCAU